rnacentral:rRNA from 1 species
AUGAACGCUGGCGGCAUGCCUAAGACAUGCAAGUCGAACGAGACGACCUUAAGAAAGCUGCGUGCUUGCACAAGGCUGGAAGAAGAUCAUCGUCUAGUGGCAGACGGGUGAGUAACACGUGGGUAACCUGCCUUUAAGUUGGGGAUAACAGUUGGAAACGAUUGCUAAUACCGAAUAAGGUAUUCGUACAGAAAGAAGCCUUUAAAGCUUCGCUUAAAGAUGGGCCUGCGGCGUAUUAACUAGUUGGUGAGGUAAUGGCUCACCAAGGUAACGAUGCGUAGCCGAACUGAGAGGUUGAACGGCCACACUGGGACUGAGACACGGCCCAGACUCCUACGGGAGACAGCAGUUAGGAAUAUUCGUCAAUGGGGGAAACCCUGAACGAGCGAUGCCGCGUGAGUGAUGAAGGCCCUCUGGGUUGUAAAACUCUGUUGUAUGGGAAGGACGGCUAUAUUAGGAAAUGAAUAUGGAGUGACGGUACCAUACGAGGAAGCUCCGGCUAACUACGUGCCAGCCGCUGC